UACGGGGGGAGCAAGCGUUGUUCGGAUUUAUUGGGCGUAAAGAGCGUGUAGGCGGCUUGACAGGUCUGCUGUGAAAACUCGAGGCUCAACCUCGAGAUGUCGGCGGAAACCGUCUGGCUAGAGUCCGGAAGAGGAGAGUGGAAUUCCUGGUGUAGCGGUGAAAUGCGCAGAUAUCAGGAAGAACACCUAUGGCGAAGGCAGCUCUCUGGGACGGUACUGACGCUGAGACGCGAAAGCGUGGGGAGCGAACAGG
rnacentral:rRNA from 1 species